CAGCAGCCGCGGGAAUACGAAGGGUGCAAGCGUUACUCGGAAUCACUGGGCGUAAAGCGUGCGUAGGUGGUGGUUUAAGUCCGUUGUGAAAGCCCUGGGCUCAACCUGGGAAUUGCAGUGGAUACUGGGUCACUAGAGUGUGGUAGAGGAUAGUGGAAUUUCCGGUGUAGCAGUGAAAUGCGUAGAGAUCGGAAGGAACAUCUGUGGCGAAGGCGACUAUCUGGGCCAACACUGACACUGAGGCACGAAAGCGUGGGGAGCAGACAGGAUUAGAUACCCCCGUAGUCCCUGUCUCUUAUAC
rnacentral:rRNA from 1 species